GGUUAAGCGACUAAGCGUACACGGUGGAUGCCCUGGCAGUCAGAGGCGAUGAAGGACGUGCUAAUCUGCGAUAAGCGCCGGUAAGGUGAUAUGAACCGUUAUAACCGGCGAUUUCCGAAUGGGGAAACCCAGUGUGAUUCGUCACACUAUCAUUAACUGAAUCCAUAGGUUAAUGAGGCGAACCGGGGGAACUGAAACAUCUAAGUACCCCGAGGAAAAGAAAUCAACCGAGAUUCCCCCAGUAGCGGCGAGCGAACGGGGAGGAGCCCAGAGCCUGAAUCAGCAUGUGUGUUAGUGGAAGCGUCUGGAAAGGCGCGCGAUACAGGGUGACAGCCCCGUACACAAAAAUGCACAUGCUGUGAGCUCGAUGAGUAGGGCGGGACACGUGGUAUCCUGUCUGAAUAUGGGGGGACCAUCCUCCAAGGCUAAAUACUCCUGACUGACCGAUAGUGAACCAGUACCGUGAGGGAAAGGCGAAAAGAACCCCGGCGAGGGGAGUGAAAAAGAACCUGAAACCGUGUACGUACAAGCAGUGGGAGCACCCUUUGGGGUGUGACUGCGUACCUUUUGUAUAAUGGGUCAGCGACUUAUAUUCUGUAGCAAGGUUAACCGUAUAGGGGAGCCGGAGGGAAACCGAGUCUUAACCGGGCGUUAAGUUGCAGGGUAUAGACCCGAAACCCGGUGAUCUAGCCAUGGGCAGGUUGAAGGUUGGGUAACACUAACUGGAGGACCGAACCGACUAAUGUUGAAAAAUUAGCGGAUGACCUGUGGCUGGGGGUGAAAGGCCAAUCAAACCGGGAGAUAGCUGGUUCUCCCCGAAAGCUAUUUAGGUAGC
rnacentral:rRNA from 1 species